rnacentral:lncRNA from 1 species
GAAGAGAAAAAACACACACAUACACUUUCAUGAGAUUCAGCUGUAUCAACAAUUUCUUUUCAUUAUCAUCAAAUAAAUAACUCAAUCAAAUUGAGUUAAUUUAACUCAAUUCAACAAAUAUUAGUUAUACUGAGAUCAACAAAACAGAUCAAGUCCCUGCACGUAUGGGAGAUAUAUUCUAUUGAGAUAUACAAACAGAUUAACCUAUGAAGAAAACUGAAGCAAGACAAGGUGAGAAGAUGACAAUAGAUGCUAUUUGGAUGGAAAAGCCUGGAGACCGUCUCUGUAGAGUUUCGUUUAGCAAAGGCCUGAAUAAAGUGAGGAAGGGAGCCAUGGAAACCCUGGAACUGGGAGAAGAGUGUUCUAAUUAGAAGGAAAUAAGCAAAUGCAAAGACCCAAAGGUAGGAAUGUGCUCAGCAUAUCUAAAGACCAGCAAGGAGUGUGGCUGGAACAGAGUGAGCAAGAGGAAGAGUGGCAAGAAACAAUAGUCAAGUGGCUAUCAGGGACCACACAUAGGACCUCAAAGGCCACGGGAAGAACUCUGGAUUACGUUCUGGAUGUAAAGCAAUGUUGUUUUGAACAGGAGUAUGUUAUUAUCUGUGAAAAAAAAGAUCACUUUGGCUGCUGUGUGGCUAACUAACUUUACAAGGGGAAAAAAGGUAUCAGGGAGACAAGAUUAUCCCAGUAAUUCAACUAAGAAAUAAAGGUAGCUUUGGACUAGAGUAUCUAGGUGUUUGCUAAAAACUAUUCACUGCUUCAGAAUGGUGACUAACUUGGUUACACUCAGAGUCCUGCAUUAAAACACGAUGUGAACCAUUUGAAAUCAGAAGAGUACCAGCCUAAGGACAACAGCUGAGAAGCUAUAGAGGUGGCACAGCAGAAGAACAAAGAGAAAUAGGUCAUGGUUGGCAUUGCUGAUAUGUCUGAACCACUCCCAGAACUACUCUACAUGUGAACUUCUAAAUGAGUGUGAAAAAAUUAUUUAAAUGUACUCCCAAUAGAAUACCCUUCCUCUCCUGUCAGUCAAGAUACAUUUCUUAAAUAAUGUUUACACUUGGAAGUCUUUACUUCCAAAUCAGCCCUUCACUCCUUCAAUGCACAGCACCCUUCUCCAACACCACCACUUCUUGGAAAUUACAAUCCUUGUGUCAUCUGACCUCUGCAUGCAGCCCCUGAUCCUGCUGAUGACUCACCAAGAUCUCCUUUCCCUUGGCUUCCAGGAACCACAUACUACUAGAUAUUUUCUUCUUUCCUCUCUGACUAGUCCUUAGUAGCCUCUGAAGCCACCAUUCCCUGUUGGUGACCUCACCCCCUACUCCCACAGCUAUAAUUAAAACCUAACUGCUUCUAGCUUCCAAAUCUCUAAGUCCAAACAUAACUCGAGUACUAGACUUUUACACACCACUGUCCACAAUAUAUCUGCAUCUAAAUAUCCCACUACCACUCAAAUUCCAGGUGCCUAAAAUUUGAGUUGAGUGAAUGCUUACAUCUAAUUACUAGGUUUCCAACUACAGAGGAAAUGCAGUCCCAGCAUCCCAGCAGCUUUUGCAGUAUCUCUAAACACUAGUACACUAGCUAACAUUUUCUGACGCUUUUUUGAGAAUAGGAACUUGUAGAGUCACCAUGCCUAGGUGUGCUAGUUGGAGGGUAAGGUUUUCACCUCAGGAAAGGGAAGAACUGGAACAGGGAGUAAAAGGAGGCCUCCAGGUUUAGCCACUCUGUUAACACUUACAGACAAGAUGAAAGUAUACCUAGAGGGACCUGUUUUCCUAACUGAUGUUAGAAAACUGAUGUGUCAUUUGAGCUAACCUCAGAAUCAAAACUUUGGCAUAAUUCUGGAGAAUGUGGUCACCAGAAAGCACAGAUGUUACUCUGGGACUACCACAUUGUGAAGGAAUUAUAACUGAUUUCUAAGACUUCAAAUUCUUAAUUGUUGGCCACUUGGCUUUACAAUGUGAAAAAGAACAUAUACAAAUAGGAUGACACACUGAAUGUCAGAUUUACGGUGUAUGUCAAGAAAAGAGCACAAACAAGUGGCAGUACCGUUUAUUCUCAAGCAAAAAUAUCUAAAGACAAACAUUCUCUGAAAUGCUGAAAUUACAUAACAUGAAUAGUGUAGAUUUUUAUUUACUUUCUGCCUAACUCAAAAAAGAUACACAAAAUGACUUUGAAAAUAAUUCUUUUAAAGCUCCUCAAAAGAAACAAUGUAAAUCCAAACCUGUGACAACAAAAAUGGAAUGUUUGUUUAAAAGAAAAGGUGUAGGAGGCCUAGCACGGUGGCUCACGUUUAUAUUCCCAGCACUCUGGGAGGCCGA